rnacentral:rRNA from 1 species
GACGAACGCUGGCGGCGUGCCUAAUACAUGCAAGUAGAACGCAGUUGCGAACGGGUGAGUAACGCGUAGGUACCUGCCUCAUAGCGCGGGACAACUAUUGGAAACGCUAGCUAAUACCGCAUACUGUGAGAUGGACCUGCGGUGUAUUAGCUAGUUGGUGAGGUAAAGGCUCACCAAGGCGAAGAUACAUAGCCGACCUGAGAGGGUGAUCGGGCAAACUUGGACUGGGACACGGCCCAGAACCCUACAGGAGGGAGCAGGAAGGAAUCGUUGGGAAUUGGCCGAAGGCUGACCCAGGAACGGCGGGUGAGGGAAGGAGGGUUUCGGGUCGUAAAGCUCUGGUGUUAGAGAAGCGGUAUCUAACCAGAAAGGGACGGCUAACUACGGGCCAGCAGCCGCGGUAAUAC